GAUUUGUGCAAGUUGUGCCUGCUUCUCUGCCCAGGCACAGAUGAGCAUCUGUGCAUUUAAUACUGUGUUCCUUUUCCAGUGCUUCCUGUGACUGUCCACGCAGAUCAUACUAAAGAAAUAGUCAAAGAAAUUCUAACUGGUUGAUCCAACUCCAAUACCACGGAUUCCUGGAUAUGGUCAAGCCAGCACAGAGAUAAUUUUUCAUGGGCUUUAUGAGGAUUGCAUUUGCCACAGAAGAUCUGAAGCCCAUUAAGCCCUGAUGAGGACCAAUACCUUUCAUUUUGUACAGAGAGGAAAAAUGUGCUGAGCCCAGGAGCUCAAGUGAGGCAGGAGCUGUGCCCAUGGUGUGGGAGAUGCUGAUCAAUAGGGCGUGAUUGAGUGCUCCAUUAUAACCUUACACCGAAACCUGGUUCCCGUAACAGCUGCCGGAGUUUAAAAGCCAUCUGUAAACUUCAGCAGGAGCUAACCAGUGCCCAGAACAACACUGGGCUGCAAUUCCAUCAGUGGCACCCUGCCAGCAUCUGCACUUUGUCUGGGUGAGCCAAACAAACAUCACACCAAACAUGUUUUCAAGGGAAUAGCUUCACCGGACCGGCUCUCAGAACCUACAUCUUCGGUGUUUUAAGAAAAAUACAACAUAAAAACAGACACAAAACUGACCUGUUGGUUCCCACCAAGAGAAGAGUCUCUUGUUUUCGUUCUCAGCUGCAAACUCGAAGAAAGAAGCCUGGAAGGUUGUUUCUAAAAUGGCUGAGCAGGUUCAAACAAGGCAAGAACCCUCAACAGAUUGAAGAGGUGCCCAUAAAGAACUUUCAUGAACGUUACAUAAAACACGAGGCUCUUUAAGUAGUUUCUUUUCAUCCAAAGUUCUUUGAUAAAUUAAUAAGGCAUUUAACAAGCCAUUAAUGAAGCAGGAAUUCUUUUAGGCAAAGAGAAUGUUAACUUCAAGUGGGCAAAACUGUGAAAGCGAUUCAGGAAAGUGAAGCCGCCGGAGUGAGCAGACCAGAGAUUCUUCCGGAUGAUCACGUAUCUUGCUACAGGUAUCACCAACCUAUCUUUAGGCACCUUCUGGAAAGACAGUUCAUUGAUACCAGCUCCAUCAGCCCAGGAAUUUGUUUGAUGUACUUAAGAGAUUGGUAACAAUAGCUCCUAACGUGACUGCGUUGCGAGGUGACAGCGUUUCCUUGGAGACGGUGAAUCCAUCCAGCCCCGUCCAGGAUCCUUGCAGGUUACCCCUCUCCAGAGGCUGGAGAACUCCCUCCCUAUGCAGGGGCAGAGAUGGGAAGAUAAGCUUUGGCUGUAGACAAAUAGCCUUAUGCAAGAUGUGAGGAUUUUGUGCACCAGCGAGACAUGUCUGAAAGUUCCUCAGGUCUGACUACAAGCAAUGAAAAGUUCAGUAAAUCCCAUCCAUCCUGCUGCUCCAUCCUGAGGGACACACACCCAAUCCCACCGGGAUUAUCACAAGGCACAGGAAUCAUCAGGCCGAGCUGUGACUCUGGGCUGCCUUCCCCACUUCCUUCUGACUCCUUCAAGUACCUUGGCUGGUGUGACAUAGAGGAACACGAUGUUCGAGGAAAUCAGCUCCGCUGUCCCCGAGUGAGAGAAGGGCCCCCAGAAGAAGAGCUGUUUUUCAGAAGAGAAGAACAUACUUUGAAAAAAAGAAAACAAGUAACUGACACAGAGAAAUGGGAGAAGAGGCUGCAAGAGAACUGGGAAAACUGAGCUGAACCUUUCAUUCCAGGACCUGGGUGAUGAUUACCAGGUGGAAAACUUCAAGAGGAUUCUCCGAAGAUUAAUUCGGGUGGAAAAGCUUUGGUUGGUGGACAAUUCUUUGACAGACCUCAGUGCCAUAAGGUUGCCAAGAUGCAGAGAAUUAAAUGUCAAUAAAAACCACUUUAGAUCCUUCAAACAGCUGCCAAAGAUCCCUCAGAUUCAGCACUUAUCUCUGGCUGAAAAUAACAUUAUGACACUAAGUGGAAUAUCAGAUUUCAGACACACUCCGCUCGAAUCCCUCAUUCUCAAGAGGAAUCCCUGUGAGUUCCAAGAAAAAUACAGACAACUUGUAUUCUCCAGUUUGCCAAAUCUGAAAAUGCUGGAUGGGAUCCCAAAACUGCCAGAGGACUGUUCACCCCCAGAUAUCAGGUUUUUUUACAAAAUGUGUACUAUACUCUAGCACUGUAUUUUUGGGGGAUCACAACUGUGCUACAACCACCUUGCUGAAAAGAGACAAUAAAUCCUCCUUAUGGAAGUCACUAAUUUUUUUUUCUAACCAAAGAGAUAUUGAAGCAGAAAUAUAACAGUUUUGAAUGCAUUUGUGAUACCACAGACUUCAAGUAAGUAUGGAUAUGGAUAUGUAAAUAACACAUAAUGUGUACGCUGAGUGUCAUGAGUUCAACAUAUUAAAACUAUUGGGUGA